rnacentral:rRNA from 1 species
ACAGUGGGGAAUAUUGGACAAUGGGCGAAAGCCUGAUCCAGCAAUGCCGCGUGUGUGAAGAAGGCCUUCGGGUUGUAAAGCACUUUCAGCAGGGAGGAUAAUGACGUUACCUGCAGAAGAAGCACCGGCUAACUUCGUGCCAGCAGCCGCGGUAAUACGAAGGGUGCAAGCGUUAAUCGGAAUUACUGGGCGUAAAGCGCGCGUAGGCGGUUUAGUAAGUUGGAUGUGAAAGCCCUGGGCUCAACCCGGGAACUGCAUUCAAAACUGCUAGGCUAGAGUGUGGUAGAGGGAAGUGGAAUUUCAGGUGUAGCGGUGAAAUGCGUAGAUAUCUGAAGGAACAUCAGUGGCGAAGGCGACUUCCUGGACCAACACUGACGCUGAGGUGCGAAAGCGUGGGUAGCAAACAGGAUUAGAUACCCUGGUAGUCCACGCCGUAAACGAUGAGAACUAGAUGUUGGGAAGUUUAACUUCUUAGUGUCGCAGCUAACGCGUUAAGU